UACAGGGGGUGCAAACGUUGCUCGGAAUCAUUGGGCGUAAAGCGCACGUAGGCGGUUCGUUAUGUCGGAUGUGAAAGCCCUUGGCUUAACCGAGGAAGUGCAUCCGAAACUGGCGAGCUAGAGUACUAAAGAGGAUCGCGGAAUUCCCGGUGUAGAGGUGAAAUUCGUAGAUAUCGGGAGGAACACCGGUGGCGAAGGCGGCGAUCUGGGUAGAUACUGACGCUGAGGUGCGAAAGCGUGAGGAGCAAACAGG
rnacentral:rRNA from 1 species